UAUGAAGACACUGAGUGCCAUUCUCAUUGUGGGCUUCCUAGUCCUUUUGGCAGAGAUGCAGCCAGCGUCUGGUCUAAGCAUACCAUACGAGAAACCUGGACGCUGUCCAGUAGUUUAUGGAAGAUGCAGGAUAUUCAACCCUCCUAAUUACUGCACGUAUGACAUUGAUUGUGUAGGGGCAAGAAAAUGUUGUGAAACAAUAUGUGGGAGAGACUGCGUCAAUCCAGUAUAAAUUCUUGCUUCACUGAUGGAUACCUCACACAAGCAAAAAAUAUCUCAUGUUCAUGUGAAUGGGAAUCACCAGCCAACGAACCACAGUUGCAGAAGACAACUCCAGCUGAAUGCGUCAUUGAACUGGAUCUUCAGCAGUAACCCCUCCAGCCUGAACUCCAGGACGAAGCACGCAAUGGUGGAAGGGACAGUCAGUAACUAUUUCUUGGCUUUGAUCUGAAGAGGGGAAAUUAUAAACUCCAGUAAUCUCAACUUCCAAGUAAAUACACAUUACCUAUUAAUGUAGCUUUUAGGAUAACACUCUGUGGAUGAACUAUACUACAUAAAACCUAAAUCAUACUGAUACAAUCUUUUCAUGUUCACCUUUUGCAAAAACAAAUAAAAAACAAAAAAACACUUUUGUGUUUUACUGGGUUCCUAUUGAAAUGCUUGUCCAAUUUUCCCCAGCACUGAGGAAAAAAUCUGAGAAAUUUUCAAUCUGAAAUUUAUUACAGAGAUUCAGCAUCCUAUUAGAAUAUUAUUUCUCCAAGCCAUAAGAGGAAAACAGCUUAGUUUUCAUUCAUGUGUUUCUACAAGGGAAUUAACUUUGUGUAAAAGAGAGUUUUUCAGUGAAAGAAUCUAGUAUCUUAAUUCUCUUUGAAUGCUAUACUUGGAAGUAUUUGAAUAUGUA